AACACAACUGCUGGAUCACAUGGUAAAAGUAUUUAGCUUUAUAAGAAACUGUCAAACUGCCUUCCAAAGCGGUUUCACCCUGUUGCAUUCCCACCAGCAAA
rnacentral:pre_miRNA from 1 species